rnacentral:lncRNA from 1 species
UUUAAAGGAUCUAAAAAGCUCAUUGAAAUCCCCCCAAUAAGCUAGCUAGAGCAAUCAAAAUAAGUAAGGGCAUCAGAGAGGGACAUAAUUUGAUCCCAAAGUUGUUUUCUCAUAUAGAAAUCAGUGCUAGCAUACACUAUACUAAGAACUAGAUGGAGGGAAAAUGACUAACCUUAGUAGUAACAUAAAUGGCCUGAGGGGUAAUGGACAUUUCACUGAUGGAGAUGGUGUCAUCUUUCCACAUAACCACUAUGCCACCAGAACCCCUAGUAGCACUAGAUUGGAUGAGAAAAUGAAAGCCAAGUUCCUCCAUAAGACUGCGAUGUUCAAUCAGUCUAGUUUCCAGCAAGGUCAGGAUAGUCGGUUAUGAAUACUAAUCAUAGACUUGGAAUCUUCCUAAAAUCAUAGUUGUUAGCCCCCUAAUAUUCCAUACUAUGUAGCUCUACAUCAUUUGGUUGGGGUUCUUGGGUUGGCAGAUCAUCACAACUUUUUCUUUCCCAAUUGGUAAGGAUGACUCUGCCAUUUCCUAGGCUUUUUUUAGAGGGGGCUUAACUUGGCUAUGAAGUGCUCCCCUAGAGUAAGGUUUGAGAGAUUGAUCAUGAGUUCUAGCUUUUUCAUCUCUUGGGGUAAGAGUACAAUGACCAUCUCAUGAAUGAGGUCUAUAAAUUGGAGUCUUGCAGGAUUUACCAAAGUGAGAACAUCCAUCUUUGGGAUCCUCAAUUAUGCUAGAAUUCCCCCCAUAUCCCUAUUGAUUCCCAGCAGGGAUUCUAAAGUAUUCUCUCUUUCUAAC